CCCGGGCGCAUCUUCAAAAAGAUGGUUUAGGCCCCGGUGGUUUAGAGGGGGUUCGCCCUUGGGACGGUUGGUUGCCAGGCCGUCACCCACGGCCCCCGCGACCCCGCCGCCGACCAGAGUCUUGCCUGUAGCAAGGCAUAUAGUAAGGGCGGUUAAACUGGGGACGGAACGGACGCCUCUGGGUAGCCGGGGUAUGCAUCCCCAAAGUGCAGAUGAUAACCCUGUUGUCCUUUAGAUUUUGAAGCUUGGAGUCCAUCUUUUCAGAGAAGAGCUCCUUUGAAUCAAAAGGAAGGUCCUGAAUGGUAUAUUGAACUUCAGGAGGAAGCGUCGAACUCUGGAGCCAAGAGAUCCGGCGCAUGGUAACUCCCGAGGCUACAGUACGUGCCGCCGAGUCAGCCGCGUCUAAGGAGGCCUGUAAGGAGGUUUGGAUACAAGAGAAAUCACUAGGGGACUGCUUGCCAAAGGAAGAGAGACACUUGGCUCCAACGACUGUCAUUGGUGGUAAAGUCUGAUAGGGUCUUUGUCCCACUGGCUCAUCUCCUUGAAUAGCUGUUAAGUCAUGCAUACUGAAACUUCUCAACCGUUCAGUUAUUGCACCUUGACCCUGGAACACAAUAAUAGCUCUUUUCAAGAACAAAUGGAGAAGCCUUAAGAUUUGCUCUUCAAAUUGAGAUGUAGUUACCUCAACUUGAUUGAAGGAAGACAGCAGAAAGAAGCCAGAAAUCCUAUAAAUAGUGUGAUUACCAGCAAGAAAAUGCAACAAAGACAGAAAAAAAGAUUGUUGAUCUUUCACUAAUAGCUUGAACAUAACAUUGUAGUCUAUAUUUUGAUUUACCACUCAACUGAUAUCCAUUAUCCAAAAAAUUUACAUUCUAUUUAUUUUUAAACAGACUGUGUAAAAAUGCUCACAAAAUUGCAAUCCUUAAAUUACAUCCCCCUAUUUUUAAACAUGUUAUUUUUAGAAUGAAUUCUUUGAGUUAAGAUGGGUAAAUACCCAAUACCACUUUACUUUUUUAUCCAUAAUAUUUACCCUGAACAGUUUAGCAUAAGUGAAAUUUACCUUUGCAGCAGCAGUUACUGCAGCAGUAGCUGCCAAAUUUAAACCCUGUCUCCCAAAAUUCACCAUAGUUUCAUAACCUCGUUCUUUGGCUUGUACAAUAUACUCAUCGAUCUCCUAAAAAACAAAACAGAAUACAUAUUUAAAUCUGCACACAAAAUCCCUGAAAGUCAUGAAGUUGUAUUACCCCAUAGCAUUAUUUUAUCAUCAAAAUGUUGAUGGAAGACUUGAAGGUAAAAAUAUAUUUAUAUUUCAACUUAUAUUAAGUUAUUAGGCUAUGUCUAUACUAAAGACCUUACAGCAGGACAGCUGUACCGAUGCAGCUGCACCACUUUAAGAUCUCUCAUGUAGCUGUUCUAUGCGGAGAGAGCUCUCCUGUCAACAUAAUUAAACCACCCUUAAUGGGAAGCUGUAGUUACGUUGGUGGGAGAAGUGCUGUGCACGCUACCACUAUGCCGGUGAAAACUUGUCAUUCAGGGAGGUGUUUUUUCACCUAAGCGACAAGUUUCGCUGGCAUAAGUGGUACUGUAGACAUGGCCUCAGUUAAUGUAUAAAUCUUUUUUGUGCUUAAAAUGUUAAAUUCUUGUAUUCAAUGCCAAACUUUGAAAAUAAUAAUUUCUUACCCGUUCCUUUGAAGAAAGAAGAGGAUGGAGAAACUUCCUAUACAUUAAACUUGCCCCUCUAGUAUAUGGAGAGAGCAGCCAAAUAACAAAAGCGAUCUUCAACUCAUAAUACAAUGGAAACCUGCAGAUAAAACGUUAUGCAAGUACUAUGAUAAGAAGAUAGAUGUUAAUUAACUACCAAAACCAAAGCUUUGGAAAAAAACUGGUUACAGAUUUUUUACAACAAAAUGUUAACCUUGGAUGAAAAAAUAGUGUAAUAACAUCUAUAUUGAUUAAAAAUUAACUAUUUAAUAGAUGAA